UAUUGAACGCAUAUUGCGGCCACGGGUCCGUCCUGUGGCCACGCCCGUCUGAGGGUCGGCGACGUUGUACCCAUCGCUGGAAGGCUCUGGUCCAGCGCCUUGAGCUUUCGUAGCCGCGAGGCUCCGUGGCUUGAAGUGAAGACCUGAAAGUGCCAAAAAGAAAAGUCCUCGUACUCGAUCGCGCAGCAGUCCUCAUGCGAGCAAAGGACAUGGCCCGGUUGAACUGUCUUUGCGAGCGAGCGAGCGGUUGGAGGAUGGAUCGAUCACACUUCCGACCUCAGAUCGGACGAGAUUACCCGCUGAAUUUAAGCAUAUCAC
rnacentral:rRNA from 1 species